UGGGGAAUAUUGCGCAAUGGGCGAAAGCCUGACGCAGCAACGCCGCGUGAGUGAUGAAGGCCUUCGGGUCGUAAAGCUCUGUCGGAGGGAACGAAUGCUCUUGAGGUUAACAGCCUCGGGAGGUGACGGUACCCUCAAAGGAAGCACCGGCUAACUCUGUGCCAGCAGCCGCGGUAAUACAGAGGGUACAAGCGUUGUUCGGAAUCAUUGGGCGUAAAGGGCGUGUAGGCGGUAUGUUAAGUCAUGUGUGAAAUCCCUCGGCUCAACCGGGGAACGACGCAUGAAACUAGCAAGCUAGAGUACCAAAGAGGGUGGUGGAAUUCCCGGUGUAGCGGUGAAAUGCGUAGAUAUCGAGAGGAACACCUGUGGCGAAGGCGGCCACCUGGUUGGAUACUGACGCUGAGACGCGAAAGCGUGGGGAGCAAACAGGAUUAGAUACCCCGGUAGCCCUGAGCGGGCUGGCAAGGCGCAU
rnacentral:rRNA from 1 species